GCACGUUCCUCACGCCACGCUCACCGCCGCACACGCCGUCACCGUUCACUUCAUCGUGCCCACGCUCGUCACGGAGUCGGGAAAGGAAACGGUGACGCCGGUGAGUUCAAUAUUCCGAGUGAUGAGUGAGCUGCAGAGGGACGGAUUCGUGGAAGACUUUACGCUCAACCAGACGUCGCUCGAACAGAUGUUCCUAAAAGGAUCGGCCGAUAUCGACGCAUUUACUCCAGAAUCGGAAACAGCUGCUGCCCCCCACCUCCGCUACAGAAGAAGCAGCGACGAGCUCAGCACAGUCACUGCUCUUUGAGAAUUAUUAGAAAUUAACUCUUUUGCAUAUCAUGUCGUUAAUACUUUAACCCUCUUUGGCUGAACCACGGCUUUGAAAAAGUAAUGAAGACUGCAUCAGAUGUAUGAAUUAUCAUAGGUAUACUAAGGGCACCGGUUCCGACUCCUCAAAUAAAAAGAUAAUAUACAUUUUAAUUAGAAUUUAUUAUAUGUAAUAUGUAUCCAAUAUUGCAUUGUGAGACUCGGUUCCACCAAACGGUAUUAAAUCAAAUUUACUAUUCCGUCCCUAAUUUAUCCUUUAAUAAUAGUCUAUUAUAAUAGUAUGACAAACGUAAUAAUAACAAUCAUAUACAUGACAAUGUUCCUAGGAUUAAUUUUAUUUAGAUUUAGAUUUAAUUAAUAUCUAAAGGGUUAUUUGUAACAUUGCGUAGUUCCUAAGUGACUUCAAUGCUGUGAUAAAAUAUAAAAUAAAUAAAAUGGU